UUCACUACAAACUCUACUCCAAUGACCAAAGUCCAGACUAGACCAAUACCUUCAACUACAACAUCAUAUCAAAGACCUACUGGAACACACAAUACAGAGACCCCAGAUAAAGAUUCAGAUUCUGCCAGCAUGUAUCACUUCAUCCUUUAUCCUGUUCUGCUGCUGCUGUUAGGAAUUGGAGUUAUCUACUGGAGAUACAGAGUUCAGAGAUGUGGGCAGAGGGAGAGCAGAGACGUGAGGACACAGGUGAGUACACACUCCCCCUUAAGACUGACAGCACGCUGUGUUCGCUCUA